rnacentral:rRNA from 1 species
UACGAAGGGGGCUAGCGUUGCUCGGAAUUACUGGGCGUAAAGGGCGCGUAGGCGGACAGUUUAGUCAGAGGUGAAAGCCCAGGGCUCAACCUUGGAAUUGCCUUUGAUACUGGCUGUCUCGAGUCCGGGAGAGGUGAGUGGAACUGCGAGUGUAGAGGUGAAAUUCGUAGAUAUUCGCAAGAACACCAGUGGCGAAGGCGGCUCACUGGCCCGGUACUGACGCUGAGGUGCGAAAGCGUGGGGAGCAAACAGG